CGCAGAUACCAGGUGGCUGCAACUGUUUAUUAAAAACACAGCACUGUGCAAAAUCGUAAGAUGACGUAUACGGUGUGACGCCUGCCCGGUGCCGGAAGGUUAAUUGAUGGGGUUAGACUUCGGUCGAAGCUCUUGAUCGAAGCCCCGGUAAACGGCGGCCGUAACUAUAACGGUCCUAAGGUAGCGAAAUUCCUUGUCGGGUAAGUUCCGACCUGCACGAAUGGCGUAAUGAUGGCCACGCUGUCUCCACCCGAGACUCAGUGAAAUUGAAAUCGCUGUGAAGAUGCAGUGUACCCGCGGCUAGACGGAAAGACCCCGUGAACCUUUACUACAGCUUGGCACUGAACAUUGACCCUACAUGUGUAGGAUAGGUGGGAGGCUUUGAAGCACGUACGCCAGUAUGUGUGGAGCCGUCCUUGAAAUACCACCCUUGUAGUGUUGAUGUUCUAACGUCGACCCCUUAUCGGGGUUGCGGACAGUGCCUGGUGGGUAGUUUGACUGGGGCGGUCUCCUCCCAAAGAGUAACGGAGGAGCACGAAGGUGGGCUAAUCACGGUUGGACAUCGUGAGGUUAGUGCAAUGGCAUAAGCCCGCUUGACUGCGAGAAUGACAAUUCGAGCAGGUGCGAAAGCAGGUCAUAGUGAUCCGGUGGUUCUGAAUGGAAGGGCCAUCGCUCAACGGAUAAAAGGUACUCCGGGGAUAACAGGCUGAUACCGCCCAAGAGUUCAUAUCGACGGCGGUGUUUGGCACCUCGAUGUCGGCUCAUCACAUCCUGGGGCUGAAGUCGGUCCCAAGGGUAUGGCUGUUCGCCAUUUAAAGUGGUACGCGAGCUGGGUUUAGAACGUCGUGAGACAGUUCGGUCCCUAUCUGCCGUGGGCGUUGGAAGAUUGAAGGGGGCUGCUCCUAGUACGAGAGGACCGGAGUGGACGAACCUCUGGUGUUCGGGUUGUGUCGCCAGACGCAUUGCCCGGUAGCUAAGUUCGGAAUCGAUAACCGCUGAAAGCAUCUAAGCGGGAAGCGAGCCCUGAGAUGAGUCUUCCCUGAUACUUUAAGUAUCCUAAAGGGUUGUCGGAGACUACGACGUUGAUAGGUCAGGUGUGUAAGUGCUGUGAGGCAUUGAGCUAACUGAUACUAAUUGCCCGUGAGGCUUAACCAU
rnacentral:rRNA from 1 species